UCAAUAUAUUCAGAUGACUCGACAUUAGAAGGAGGCUAUUCUGCACCAGUCAAUGUAUAAGCAGGAGAGCUGAAAUCCCUCUGGACAUUUUAAGAAUAGAAGGAUUUAGUCAACAACCUAUUUGGAAGCCCUGAAGUUGCAAAAGAGAGAAAAGAUAUUUCACAGAUAUGUAGAAGCUGUGAUCACCCUAGCCCACAAGCCUUCACUUGGAGUUUUGUGGCUGGAGCGUUUCUUGUUGCCACUGCUGAUAAGGAUAUCGGAGCCCACAGAUUCCUGGAGGUGCCAAAAUCUUCUGUUGAUGUUUCUAUCACAGUCAGAGCAAGAAGUGACCUGUUUUCUUUUAUCUUCCCUUCUAAAUUUCCAUAAGGGACUCCUAGUCACAGCAACUAAGUAGAAAUCAGCUGUUAAAGAUGUCUCCAAAAUAUGACUUGUAGGUUCCUAGCUCUGUGUAAAACUGUUAAGAACUAGAGAGGGUUGGAAUGGAACUUUGGAAAAAACAUGUAGUAUCUGACAGAGUGUUUGCACUGGUUUUCUAGGUCUGCCAUAAUGAAGGAGUAUAAAUUCUGAGGCUUACGCAACUAGAAUUUAUUUUCACACAAUUCUGGAGACUAGUAGUUCAAAAUUAAGGUAUUGGCAGAAUUGGUUUCUUCUGAGGACUAUGAGACAAAGGUUUGGUCUAGGCCUCUCUCCUUGGCUUGUAGAUGGCUGACUUCUCCCUAUGUCUCUUCACUAACUCUUCUCUCAGUAUAUGUCUGUCCAAGUUUUUCCUUCUUAUAUGAACACAAGUCAUAUUGGAUUAGGGGCCACCCUAAUAACCUCAUUUAACUUGAUUAUGUCUGUAAAGUUUCUAUCUGAAAAUGAGGUCACCUUCUGAGAUAUGGGGGUUAGGAUUUUAUGCAUAUGAAUUUGAGAGGAACGCAAUUCAACCCAUAACAGUAACCUGAUGUACCAAGUAGAUACAUGAAUCAAAGCCCAUUAGAGAGCUUAUCCAACUUCCCUAAUUGCAUGUUUUCUUCUCUGCUACUCUAGAAGAAAUCUUGUUUUCCUACUUUUUUUUAACCUUGUCUUGUUGAACACUGUGGGCCACAUUAGAAAAUUUUAAUAUAUGUCAGUUGAUCAGUCAUUACAGAUGAUUGAGCUAAACAUUUAAUGUUACCUUGUUGACUUCCAAAACUUACAUUUCAAAGACCUUCAACAUUG
rnacentral:lncRNA from 10 species